rnacentral:rRNA from 1 species
CUAUACGGAGUUACAAAGGACGACAUUAGACGAAUCAUCUGGAAAGAUGAAUCAAAGAAGGUAAUAAUCCUGUAGUCGAAAAUGUUGUCUCUCUUGAGUGGAUCCUGAGUACGACGGAGCACGUGAAAUUCCGUCGGAAUCUGGGAGGACCAUCUCCUAAGGCUAAAUACUCUCUAGUGACCGAUAGUGAACCAGUACCGUGAGGGAAAGGUGAAAAGCACCCCGGAAGGGGAGUGAAAUAGAACCUGAAACCGUGUGCUUACAAGUAGUCAGAGCCCGUUAAUGGGUGAUGGCGUGCCUUUUGUAGAAUGAACCGGCGAGUUACGAUUUGAUGCAAGGUUAAGCAGUAAAUGUGGAGCCGUAGCGAAAGCGAGUCUGAAUAGGGCGUUUAGUAUUUGGUCGUA